GCCGCUCAGAGAGAGCCGCUCAGAGAGAGCCGCUCUGAGAGAGCCGCUCAGAGAGAGCCGCUCUGAGAGAGCCGCUCUGAGAGCCGCUCUGAGAGAGCCGCUCUGAGAGAGCCGCUCAGAGAGAGCCGCUCUGAGAGAGCCGCUCUCUGAGCGCUGGUGGGCUUGUUAUCUUGGUGUGCAGCUGUGCCAUUUAAACUUCAAACUGUAAAAAAGGACCUUCAAAGCUUUCUCUACAAUGUUGGGGAUUUUGUUACGUCUUCAAGCGGUGCUUGAUGUUACACGUUACAUAAGGUAUAGGUUACAUUAACAUGUUUCAUGGUUCGAUUAAACUAACAUGUAUCAUGUUGCAGUAGACUUCAUGGUUCGAUUAAACUAACAAGAUUCAUGGUUACAUUCAACUCUUAACAUGUAUUAAGAUAACAUUAAAUUAACAUGUAUCAUGGUAAUGCUGAAUGAUAGUGACUGCUGUCCUGACAUGUUGAUGUAUUGUUUAUCUCUAUAUAGAACGGUAUUAUAGAAGACGUCUGAAGGUAAGUGUUAUCACUGGUUUGAUACAGAACACAAUAACAUGUGUGACCCUAGCUGGCAGUGGUUUUAUUAGAUGAUGACCUUGUGAUGAACCCAAUGUUGAUAUUUUAUUUACAUUUUUAUUUUAUUGUAAAGGAAACAGAGGAACCAAACAGGAGGUUAAAUGGUAAGCUAAUAUUCCACAUGUUUCACUUUGUAAAUGAGUAACAGAUCAUUUAUUAAUAUCCAGUCAUUUGCAAGGGUUACUGACUCACACCAAGUCAAAUGAUAUCGCUGUGAUUCAAAACAUUUCAUCUAAUUGUACCAGAGAGUCAGAGCCUACCUAGCAGAGGGACCAGAGUGGCAGACCUACUGAACAACAUCAUCUAGAUCAGGGCUCCUCAACCUCUUUAUUACUGAGGCCCGGUAUGCAUAUUUAUAUGGGGAGUUAUUGUUAGGGUUGGUGUGAGGCCUCUCCUGUUGUCCUGUAGUAGUGAACUUCAAAAUAUGAAUGGCCACUACAUUUUUCCCCACUGAUACAGUAAGCGCCAUAAGUCCUUUCCUGAAACCUGUUCCACACACAUAACGACCCAACAUAACAACAUUGGCAUGAAGGCUUUAUCAUGUGUAGCUGGCUAGUGGGGUUUCCACGCUACCAAGUUGAAUAGUAAACCACACAAUACACAGAGCAGUACAAAGUCAGAUGAUUUAUUUACCAGGUGAAUAACAAUCACCGUGGUGGGAAAAGGGUAAUCCACAAUCCGUACACAGGAGUCGUUGCCAGAAGGGCCCUCAAACAAAGCGGUCGGUGCACAGUGGGGAUAGUCAGACGGUCCUCUCUCUCUCUCUCUCUCUCUCUCUCUCUCUCUCUCUCUCUCUCUCUCUCUCUCUCUCUCUCUCUCUCUCUCUCUCUCUCUCUCUCUCUCUCUCUCUCUCUCUCUCUCUCUCUCUCUCUCUCUCUCUGGUAGCCUGCUCUCCCCUUUAAGCCCAAGCACUCCUGCCUAAUGCUCCUCAGGCUUGCAUCGUUAAGGGAGGAAGUCCAUGUAAGGCUUGGGGGUGGAGCCAGCAUGCUGCCAGAUAUCUCCCUUCGAUCACCACUCCCCUCACUCCUCCCUGCCGCCUGCCACACAUCACAGAGGAGUGGGGUUGGGAUUGGUUGGGGUCACGGCCUCUUAUUUGAAUUUUGUGGAAGCAUUAUUAUUAUUUUUUUAUUUUAUUUUUUAUUCAGGUAGGCUUUAUUUCUAAAACUCAGCGGCCCGGUGGUUGAGAACCGCUGUUUGGUGGGAAUUUCUGGACCACGUCAAUCGUUUCUUUAUAAACUGAGUAGGAAUAAAGAGUCUACCGAACUUAUAACAAUUAGGGUAGUAUAUUUAAAUAAUAAACGUAUAAUAAUAUAAAACAAACAUACAACACAAUCCAAGGCCUAACAAACAAUCAUCCGAGGCCUCAGAUGGGAGUUCUCCCUGCGUCCCUCCAAGAGCUCCUCAAGGAGAGGUCGGAUCCAUUGAUAAAGCAAGGACUUCAGGUCUGAGGAGGCUGAGAACAGCUCUGACCCCAAUAUGACUAUAGUACUGGUUAACCAGAGGGUAAACUAUCAGUGCACCUCCUCAGGAUGUCCUGAAGGGGGACGUAGCCGUGCCUAAUCAGUUGGAGCCCUGGCUUCUCCACCUUCCCGAGGGGCUCAAGGAAACAGACCCAUACCAACAAAUGGCAGUUAGAGAAACGGAAUGUAAAAAUAUAAUUUUCCCAUUACACCUGAUCUAGAUAUUAGAUUAUAGAAUGGAGCUAUCCAUGUAUAUAAGACACUACUCUCAUAGCUGGGGCGAUGUGGCCAGCAUAACGUCAGCUCAGUGGCGUUUAUAACGUAGCUCACUGAGUCGUCAUGACAACACAGCAGGGACAAAGGGUAGAAAGACUUCUGUCCUUGUUUGACCACGAUAAUGGCAGCCGUCUCCCUACACGUAUUCAGUCUGUCAAGAUGUUCUUCUGUGUAGAGGCUAAUUCAGAGUGGAAACCAGGAACUGGUUCAACUGAUUCUACAAGAUUAGAAUAUAUGGAGCAGUUCAUAAUGGUAGGAUGGAUACGUUUCAUAACAUCAACCAUAGUCCUGGGAGGUAAGGGUUACAUUGAACUCUAACAUGUAUAAUGUUACAUUAAACUAACAUAUAUCAUGGUUACAUUAAACUAACAUGUAUCAUGGUUACAUUCAACUAACAUGUAUCAGGGUUAUGCUGAAUGAUAUUGACUGCUGUCCUGACAUGUUACUGUAUUGUUUAUCUCUAUAUAGUAUGGAUUGAUCGAAUUCUGAAGGUAAGUGUUGUUACUGGUUUGAUUAAGACCGCAAUAAUAUGUGUGACCCUAGCUGGCAGUGGUGGAGUUAUUAGAUGAUGACCUUGUAAUGAACCCAAUGUUGAUAUUUUAUUCACAUUUUAUUUUAUAGAAAGAGGAAAUGACCAAUACAGACUAUAGCCAUGGUAAGUUCUUAUUCCACAUGCUUCACUUUGUUAAUGAGUAACAGAUAAUUUAUUAAUAUCCAGUGAUUUGCAAGGGUUACUGACUCCCACCAAGUCAAAUGAUAUCGCUGUGGUUCAAAACAUUUAAUCUAAUUGUACCAGAGAGUCAGAGCCUACCUAGCAGAGGGACCAGAGUGGCAGACCUACUGAACAACAUCAUCUAGAUAUUAGAUUAUAGAAUGGAGCUAUCCAUGUAUAUAAGACACUACUCUCAUAGCUGGGGCGAUGUGGCCAGCAUAACGUCAGCUCAGUGGCGUUUAUAACGUAGCUCACUGAGUCGUCAUGACAACACAGAGCAGGGACAAAGGGUAGAAAGACUUCUGUCCUUGUUUGACCACGAUAAUGGCAGCCGUCUCCCUACACGUAUUCAGUCUGUCAAGAUGUUCUUCUGUGUAGAGGCUAAUUCAGAGUGGAAACCAGGAACUGGUUCAACUGAUUCUACAUGAUUAGAAUAUAUGGAGCAGUUCAUAAUGAUAGGAUGGAUUCGUUUAAUAAUAUCAAUCAUAGUCCUGGGAGGUAAGGGUUACAUUAAACUAACCUGUAUCAUAGCUAUAUUAAACUCUUAACAUGUAUCAUGUUACAUUAAAAUCGAUCAUGUAUCAUGGUUCCAUUAAACUAACAUGUAUCAUGGUUACAUUAAACUAACAUGUAUCAGGGUUAUGCUGAAUGAUAGUGACUGCUGUCCUGACAUGUUUCUGUAUUGUUUAUCUCUAUAUAGAAUUGGCUAAUCAAAUACGCAAGAUGGUAAGUGUUAUUACUGGUUUAAUACAAAACACAAAAAUAUGUGUGACCCUAGCUGGCAGUGGUGGAGUCAUUAGAUGAUGACCUUGUAACGAACCCAAUGUUGAUGUUUUAUUGAUAAUUUUAUUUGAUAGAAAAUGGUAAAAGAGGAACAGGAUGGGGAGUUUCACAGUAAGUAAUUUUUCUACACUUCUGUCCUUGUUUGACCACGAUAAUGGCAGCCGUCUCCCUACACGUAUUCAGUCUGUCAAGAUGAUCUUCUGUGUAGAGGCUAAUUCAGAGUGGAAACCAGGAACUGAUUCAACUGAUUAUACAUUUAAAUAUAUGGAGAAGUUCAUAAUGAUAGGAUGGAUACGUUUAAUAAUUAACCAUAGUCCUGGGAGGUAAGGGUUACAUUGGACUCUAACACGUAUCAUGUUUCAUUAAACUAAGGGGCCACUCACACUAGGGCCGCGGCCCCGUGCCCGAGCUCAUUUGCAUACUAAAGUCUAGAAUGUUUGGCUAGUGUGACCACGCCAUCCGUUUUCCAGCACGGAACAGCCCCUUGGCCACGGCACACUUGGGAGAGGUGUGCCGUGGCCAAAGUACAGAUGCUAAUGAGAUGACAUGUGCGGAUACGCAACGUGAGCUGGAUGACGUAGUCCUUGCGCGACCCUUCUUUCUUUAUAGGUCCAUGCCCUUCUUCCCCACAACAAUCAUUUAAAACAAUGGCGGCAAGCGGUUCACGAGUGGGUUUACGUUGGUGCGAUAGUGAAGUCGAGUGUUUACUUGAAAUUUGGGCCGACGACAGCAUUCAGUCGCAGCUGGACACCACGCUUGGUGAGGACGCAUUUAUCGUAUUACGACGUGAUGACGUAUGUAUGAAGGAGCAAUCGUGCCCAGGCCACGGCCUUUGGGAGCAGUGUGACCACGGGCCAGCGGGGGAGUGGGGAGGGGGGGAAUCGUGCUGAAUCUUCCUACAGCACGGAACAGGCAAACUUGCCUAGUGUGAGUGUGCCCGAACAUGUUUCGUGUUACAUUAACCUAACAUGUAUCAUGGUUAUAUUAGGGCGCACUCACACUUGGCCAUCUGUACCGUGCCCAAGUCCUUUUGACAGCUGUACCGUACUCAAGUACGAUUGCCCGCAACCCCCCUUCCCCAUGCUGUGCCGCUGGUCUGUGCUCACACUAGGCAAUCUCAACUGGUCCUGAGUACGGUUGCCCCUUGUACAUACGUCAUCACGUCGUAAUACGUCAUCACGUCGUAAUACGUCAUCAACAAGCGUCCGCUGCUUAGUAGAACAACGCAGAGAACAUAAUUGACACUUUACUAACUUUGUUGCUUAUUUGGAGCCGUUCUACUCAGAUACAGCCCUCUCUCACUGAGCCUUUUUACACAUCAAAUAUGCCAUUUUAUGCACUCCUUUUUCACGUCACGGCCCGCGCGUUUACGCUCCCCGAGGUAAAUUGCCUGCUUGAUCUAGAACCCCAAUUUACCCUCCCGGACCCUGCACACUUUGGUGGUUUAUCAGCUACACCACCAUGAACAAGCCCGAUCUCGUCUGAUCUCGAAAGCUAAGCAUGUUCGGGCCUGGUUAGUACUUGGAUGGGAGACCAUAUAAUAUAUAACAUAUUCUAUAUACAUCUAUAUAUAUCUAUGUGGGAGACCGCCUGGGAAUACCCAAUAGUAUCCGUCUGCGUCCUGCAAGCCGGAGACGUGACUUGUAGUAGGCGUAACUUGUAGUAGGAGGCGUGUGUAGUACUUUUCUAAAUCGCGGAAGUGAUCAGUAUGCAGCAGUGGUGCGCGGGUACAUAAAUGACUGCAACUCGGACCUCAAAUAUUAGGCCUUAUAUAAAAAUAAUGCACCCGACCCUCUCAUUCAAAAAUAUGCUCUUGAUUAGCUUAUUCAUAGCCUUACUGGCUAACUGAAAAUGACAUCCCUGAGUCAUAUGCAUUUAAGAAAAUAAUUUACAGAUUUACAAGACUUUUUUUACUGCGAAAAUAGGAAGAUCUCGCGUGGACCGCGAUUUAGAAAAGUACAAGACACGCCUCCUCCUACUACAAGUUGCGCCUCCGUCUUGCAGGACGCUGAUAGACCCUACUCGGAAUACCAUGUGCUGUAAGUGGUGUUGGGUGGUGGCCAAUAGGUGGCACUAUUCCCUCUGGCCUUAACAUCAAUGAUCAAUCCCGAUGUCCCAGUGCAGUGACGGGGACACUGUGCUGUGGAAGGUGCCGUCUUUCGGAGGAGACGUAAAACCGAGGUCCUGAAUCACUGAGUUCGAAAAAGAUCCCAGGGCACUGAUCGCAAAGAGUAGGGGUUUCCCCAGUCUGGCCCAACCAGGCUCAUUCAAUCUGGCCCCCUAAUCAUCCUCCUGUAUAAUUGGCUGCCGAAUUCUUUCCCUCACUCUGCACCUCAAGUUGGUGUGUGGUUGCUACACACUGGUGGUGGAGUGAGGUCCCCCCUUCACUGUAGGCGUCUUUGAGUGUCUAAAAAAGCGCUAUAUAAAUUCAAUGAAUUAUUAUUAUUAUUAUUUAUUGGGUUUCAUUCUGUUCUAAAUGCGACGGCGUCUUCACGAGGCUUUUGUCGGGAUAAAAAACAAGUGGUCAGAAAAACAAAGAAUAUUUGCUAGCGUUUUUUGCACUUGUAAAUAGUUAAAACGUUUGUAGCCUACACUCGGAUGGGAAAUUAUUCUUGCAUGCGGGUGUCUUCAUUCAUAAAAAAAUAAAAACAUUCGGGAGUAAACAAAUUAUUCUAAAGAGGUCUAGACUCCUUGCGCAGCCCCGCCUUCUCCUGUGAACCAAGAAAGCCCGCGUCCUGCCUGAGCACACCUCUCUGAAGUGUGUUCAGGCCACGGAAUUGAUCAUAAUGUAUCAUGGUUACAUUAAACUAACAUGUAUCAUGGUUAUGCUGAAUGAUAGUGACUUUAGUCCUGACAUGUUACUGUAUUGUUUAUCUCUAUAUAGAAUGGAUUGAUGCCCUUCUGAAGGUAAGUGUUAUUACUGGUUUGAUACAGAACACAAUAAUAUGUGUGUGACCCUAGCUGGCAGUGGUGUUAUUAGAUGAUCACCUUGUAAUGAACCCAAUGUUGAUAUUUUAUUCACAUUUUUAUUGUAUUCUAAAAGGAAAUAAAGGAACAGGAGAGGAAGAUAACUGGUGGAGCUGCUGGAGAAGGGACAUCUGGUCCCUCAUCCACACCUCUCCUCUCUACGGAGCUUCCUGCAGGUCUAGAGACAUCCAUCCCUCCAGCUCCCUCCAGUGAAACACAGCCUGCAGGUCUAGAGACAUCCAUCCCUCCAGCUCCCUCCAGUGAAACACAGCCUGCAGGUCUAGAGACAUCCAUCCCUCCAGCUCCCUCCAGUGAAACACAGCCUGCAGGUCUAGAGACAUCCAUCCCUCCAGCUCCCUCCAGUGAAACACAGCCUGCAGGUCUAGAGACAUCCAUCCCUCCAGCUCCCUCCAGUGAAACACAGCCUGCAGGUCUAGAGACAUCCAUCCCUCCAGCUCCCCCCUGUGAAACACAGCCUGCUGAAGAAUUGGAUAAACUAAGUCUUGAGAGGGUAAGUGUUACUUGUUUGUAAUUGUUACAAGUUAUCACUGGUUUGGUACAGACCACAAUAAUAUGUUUGACCCUAGCUGGCAGUGGUGGAGUUAUUAGAUGAGGACCUUGUAGUGAACCCAAUGUUGAUAUUUUAUUUACAUUUUUAUUUAAUUGCAAAAGGAAACACCGAAAAAGUGGUGGGAGGAAGCUGGUAAGUUCUUAUCCACAUUUUUCACUUUGUUAAUGAGUAACAGAUCAUCAUUUAUUAAUAUCCAGGGAUUUGCAAGGGUUACUGACACACACCAAGUCAAAUGAUAUCGCUGUGAUUCAAAACAUUUCUAAUUGUACCAGAGAGUCAGAGCCUACCUAGCAGAGGGACCAGAGUGGCAGACCUACUGAACACCAUCCUCUAUAUAUUAGAUUAUAGAAUGGAGCUAUCCAUGUAUAUAAGACACUACUCUCAUAGCUGGGGCGAUGUGGCCAGCAUAACGUCAGCUCAGUGGCGUUUAUAACGCAGCUCACUGAGUCGUCAUGACAACACAGAGCAGGGACAAAGGGUAGAAAGACUUCUGUCCUUGUUUGACCACGAUAAUGGCAGCCGUCUCUCCACACGUUUUCAGUCUGUCAAGAUGUUCUUCUGUGUAGAGGCUAAUUCAGAGUGGAAACCAGGAACUGGUUCAACUGAUUCUACAUGAUUAGAAUAUAUGGAGCAGUUCAUAAUAAUAGGAUGGAUACGUUUCAUAAUAUCAACCAUAGUCCUGGGAGGUAAGGGUUACAUUGAACUCUAACAUGUAUCAUGUUACAUUAAACUAACAUGUAUCAUGGUUACAUUAAACUAACAUGUAUAAUGGUUACAUUAAACUAACAUGCAUCAGGGUUUUGCUGAAUGAUAGUGACUGCUAUCUUGACAUGUUUCUGUAUUGUUUAUCUCUAUAUAGAAUUGGCAAAUCAAAUACGCAAGAUGGUAAGUGUUAUUAAUGGUUUAAUACAAAACACAAUUAUAUCUGUGACCCUAGCUGGCAGUGGUGGAGUCAUUAGAUGACCUUGUAACGAACCCAAUGUUGAUGUUUUAUUUGCAAUUUUAUUUGAUAGAAAAUGGUAAAAGAGGAACAGGAUGGGGAGUUUCACAGUAAGUUAUUUUUCUACACUUCUGUCCUUGUUUGACCACGAUAAUGGCAGCCGUCUCCCUACACGUAUUCAGUCUGUCAAGAUGUUCUUCUGUGUAGAGGCUAAUUCAGAGUGGAAACCAGGAACUGGUUCAACUGAUUAUACAUUUAAAUAUAUGGAGAAGUUCAUAAUGAUAGGAUGGAUACGUUUAAUAAUUAACCAUAGUCCUGGGAGGUAAGGGUUACAUUGGACUCUAACACGUAUCAUGUUUCAUUAAACUAAGGGGCCACUCACACUAGGGCCGCGGCCCCGUGCCCGAGCUCAUUUGCAUACUAAAGUCUAGAAUGUUUGGCUAGUGUGACCACGCCAUCCGUUUUCCAGCACGGAACAGCCCCUUGGCCACAGCACAUUUGGGAGAGGUGUGCCGUGGCCAAAGUACAGAUGCUAAUGAGAUGACAUGCGCGGAUACGCAACGUGAGCUGGAUGACGUAGUCCUUGCGCGACCCUUCUUUCUUUAUAGGUCCAUGCCCUUCUUCCCCACAACAAUCAUUUUAAACAAUGGCGAAGUGUUUACUUGAAAUUUGGGCCGACGACAGCAUUCAGUCGCAGCUGGACACCACGCUUUGUGAUGACGUAUUUAUCGUAUUACGACGUGAUGACGCAUGUAUGAAGGAGCAAUCGUGCCCAGGCCACGGCCUUUGGGAGCAGUGUGACCACGGGCCAGCGGGUGAGUGGGGAGGGGGGGAAUCGUGCUGAAUCUUCCUGCAGCACGGAACAGGCAAACUUGCCUAUACUACUACUACUACUAGUGUGAGUGUGCCCGAACAUGUUUCGUGUUACAUUAACCUAACAUGUAACAUGGUUAUAUUAGGGCGCACUCACACUCUGUACCGUGCCCAAGUCCUUUUGACACCUGUACCGUACUCAACUACGAUUGCCCGCCACCCCCCCCCCCCUGCUGUGCCGCUGGUCUGUUCUCACACUAGGCAAUCUCAACUGGUCCUGAGUACGGUUGCCCCUUGUACAUACUUCAUCAACAAGUGUCCGCUGCUUAGUAGAACAACGCAGAGAACAUAAUUGACACUUUACUAACUUUGUUGCUUAUUUGGAGCCGUUCUCCUCAGAUACAGCCCUCUCUCACUGAGCGUUUUUACACUGCCAAAUAUGCCAUUUUCUGCACUCCUUUUUCGCGGCACGGCCCGUGCGUUUACACUCCCCGAGGUAAAUUGCCUGCUUGAUCUAGAACCCCAAUUUACCCUCCCGGACCCUGCACACGUUGGUUUUUUAUCAGCAACACCACCAUGAACAAGCCCGAUCUUGUCUGAUCUCGAAAGCUAAGCAUGUUCGGGCCUGGUUAGUACUUGGAUGGGAGACCAUAUAAUAUAUAACAUAUUCGAUAUACAUCUAUAUAUAUCUAUGUGGGAGACCGCCUGGGAAUACCCAAUAGUAUCCGUCUGCGUCCUGCAAGCCGGAGACGUGACUUGUAGUAGGCGUAACUUGUAGUAGGAGGCGUGUGUAGUACUUUUCUAAAUCGCGGAAGUGAUCAGUAUGCAGCAGUGGUGCGCGGGUACAUAAAUGACUGCAACUCGGACCUCAAAUAUUAGGCCUUAGAUAAAAAUAAUGCACCCGACCCUCUCAUUCAAAAAUAUGCUCUUGAUUAGCUUAUUCAUAGCCUUACUGGCUUACUGAAACUGACAUCCCUGAGUCAUAUGCAUUUAAGAAAAUAAUUUACAGAUUUACAAGACUUUUUUUACUGCGAAAAUAGGAAGAUCUCGCGUGGACCGCGAUUUAGAAAAGUACAAGACACGCCUCCUCCUACUACAAGUUGCGCCUCCGUCUUGCAGGACGCUGAUAGACCCUACUCGGAAUACCAUGUGCUGUAAGUGGUGUUGGGUGGUGGCCAAUAGGUGGCACUAUUCCCUCUGGCCUUAACAUCAAUGAUCAAUCCCGAUGUCCCAGUGCAGUGACGGGGACACUGUGCUGUGGAAGGUGCCGUCUUUCGGAGGAGACGUAAAACCGAGGUCCUGAAUCACUGAGUUCGAAAAAGAUCCCAGGGCACUGAUCGCAAAGAGCAGGGGUUUCCCCAGUCUGACCCAACCAGGCUCAUUCAAUCUGGCCCCCUAAUCAUCCUCCUGUAUAAUUGGCUGCCGAAUUCUUUCCCUCACUCUCCACCUCAAGUUGGUGUGUGGUUGCUACACACUGGUGGUGGAGUGAGAUCCCCCCUUCACUGUAGGCGUCUUUGAGUGUCUAAAAAAGCGCUAUAUAAAUUCAAUGAAUUAUUAUUAUUAUUAUUUAUUGGGUUUCAUUCUGUUCUAAAUGCGACGGCGUCUUCACGAGGCUUUUGUCGGGAUAAAAAACAAGUGGUCAGAAAAAUAAAGAAUAUUUGCUAGCGUUUUUUGCACUUGUAAAUAGUUAAAACGUUUGUAGCCUACACUCGGAUGGGAAAUUAUUCUUGCAUGCGGGUGUCUUCAUUCAUAAAAAAAUAAAAACAUUCGGGAGUAAACAAAUUAUUCUAAAGAGGUCUAGACUCCGUGCGCAGCCCCGCCUUCUCCUGUGAACCAAGAAAGCCCGCGUCCUGCCUGAGCACACCUCUCCGAAGUGUGCUCAGGCCACGGAAUUGAUCAUAAUGUAUCAUGGUUACAUUAAACUAACAUGUAUCAUGGUUAUGCUGAAUGAUAGUGACUGCAGUCCUGACAUGUUACUGUAUUGUUUAUCUCU